rnacentral:rRNA from 1 species
GACGUAGGGGGCCAGCGUUGUUCGGAAUUACUGGGUGUAAAGGGUUCGUAGGCGGUGUGGCAAGUCGGGAGUGAAAUCUCUGGGCUCAACCCAGAGUCUGCUUCCGAAACUGCUGUGCUUGAGUGUGGGAGAGGCGCGUGGAAUUGCAGGUGUAGCGGUGAAAUGCGUAGAUAUCUGCAGGAACACCCGUGGCGAAAGCGGCGCGCUGGACCACUACUGACGCUGAGGAACGAAAGCUAGGGGAGCAAACAGG